rnacentral:tRNA from 1 species
GGCGAGAUAGCUCAGUUGGUAAGAGCGCAGGAUUCAUAAUCCUGAGGUCGCGGGUUCGAUUCCCGCUCUCGCCA